CCUACGGGAGGCAGCAGUCGAGAAUCAUUCACAAUGGGGGAAACCCUGAUGGGGCGACGCCGCGUGGGGGAAUGAAGGUCUUCGGAUUGUAAACCCCUGUCAUGUGGGAGCAAAUUAAAAAGAUAGUACCACAAGAGGAAGAGACGGCUAACUCUGUGCCAGCAGCCGCGGUAAUACAGAGGUCUCAAGCGUUGUUCGGAAUCACUGGGCGUAAAGCGUGCGUAGGCUGUUUCGUAAGUCGUGUGUGAAAGGCCCGGGCUCAACCCGCGGACGGCACAUGAUACUGCGAGACUAGAGUAAUGGAGGGGGAACCGGAAUUCUCGGUGUAGCAGUGAAAUGCGUAGAUAUCGAGAGGAACACUCGUGGCGAAGGCGGGUUCCUGGACAUUAACUGACGCUGAGGCACGAAGGCCAGGGGAGCGAAAGGGAUUAGAUACCCCGGUAGUC
rnacentral:rRNA from 1 species